GCAGAACGCGAAGAACCUUACCUGGGUUUGACAUGGCCGCAAAAACUGUCAGAGAUGGCAGGUCCUUCGGGGUCGGGUCGACAGGUGGUGCAUGGCUGUCGUCAGCUCGUGUCGUGAGAUGUUGGGUUAAGUCCGCAACGAGCGCAACCCUCGUUCGAUGUUGCCAGCGCGUUAUGGCGGGGACGUCAUCGAAGACUGCCGGGGGUCAACUCGGAGGAAGGGUGGGGAGUGACGUCAAGUCAUCAUGCCCCUUAUGUCCAGGGCUUCACGCAUGCUACAAUGGCCGGUACAAUGGGCUGCGAUACCGUGAGGUGGAGCGAAUCCCAAAAAGCCGGUCUCAGUUCGGAUCGGGGUCUGCAACUCGACCCCGUGAAGUCGGAGUCGCUAGUAAUCGCAGAUCAGCAACGCUGCGGUGAAUACGUUCCCGGGUCUUGUACACACCG
rnacentral:rRNA from 1 species